UUCCUCAGUGCUGAGGGUCGUGACCUUUAC
rnacentral:sRNA from 1 species